rnacentral:tRNA from 2 species
CCCUCCGUAGUUCAACGGAUAGAACAGGGGCGUUCUAAGCCUUUGAUGUGGGUUCGACUCCUGCCGGAGGGA